UGGUAUUUGGAUAUUCCUUGGCUGAAUC
rnacentral:piRNA from 1 species